rnacentral:rRNA from 1 species
UACGUAGGGUGCGAGCGUUAAUCGGAAUUACUGGGCGUAAAGCGUGCGCAGGCGGCUUUGCAAGACAGAUGUGAAAUCCCCGGGCUCAACCUGGGAAUUGCAUUUGAAACUGGGAAACUAGAGUGUGUGAGAGGGGGGUAGAAUUCCGCGUGUAGCAGUGAAAUGCGUAGAUAUGCGGAGGAACACCAAUGGCGAAGGCAAUCCCCUGGGCCUGUACUGACGCUCAUGCACGAAAGCGUGGGGAGCAAACAGG